AUCCGGCUGACGAGUCCCAAAUAGGACAAAAUGCUCAUCCUGGAU
rnacentral:hammerhead_ribozyme from 1 species